AGAGUUUGAUCCUGGCUCAGAACGAACGCUGGCGGCAGGCCUAAUACAUGCAAGUCGAGCGCUCCGCAGGGAGCGGGCAGGGAGAGUAACGCGUGGGAACCUUCCUUUUGGUUCGGAAUACCCGGGAAACUGGUGCUAAUACCGGAUAAGCCCUUCGGGGGAAAGAUUUAUCGCCGAAAGAUGGGCCCGCGUUGGAUUAGCUAGUUGGUGGGGUAACAGCCUACCAAGGCUACGAUCCAUAGCUGGUCUGAGAGGAUGAUCAGCCUCACUGGGACUGAGACACGGCCCAGACUCCUACGGGAGGCAGCAGUAGGGAAUAUUGGACAAUGGGGGCAACCCUGAUCCAGCCAUGCCGCGUGAAUGAUGAAGGCCUUCGGGUUGUAAAGUUCUUUUGCAGGGGACGAUGAUGACGGUACCCUGAGAAUAAGCUCCGGCUAACUUCGUGCCAGCAGCCGCGGUAAUACGAAGGGAGCUAGCGUUGUUCGGAAUUACUGGGCGUAAAGGGCGCGUAGGCGGUUUGGCAAGUUGGAUGUGAAAGCCCUGGGCUCAACCCGGGAAUUGCAUUCAAGACUGCCUUGCUUGAAUUCGGUAGAGGUUGGUAGAAUUCCCAGUGUAGAGGUGAAAUUCGUAGAGAUUGGGAAGAAUACCCGUGGCGAAGGCGGCCNCUGGACCGACAUUGACGCUGAGGCGCGAAAGCGUGGGGAUCAAACAGGAUUAGAUACCCUAGUAGUCC
rnacentral:rRNA from 1 species